GGUGGGUUAGCUCAGUGGUUAGAGCAUAGGUUUCGUAACCGAAAGGUUGCGGGAUCGAAUCCCCCCAAGUAACA
rnacentral:tRNA from 1 species